UACAGAGGCCUCAAGCGUUGUUCGGAUUCAUUGGGCGUAAAGGGUGCGUAGGCGGCUUGGUAAGUUGAAGGUGAAAUCUCGGGGCUUAACUCCGAAACUGCCUUCAAUACUGCUGAGCUCGAGGAUUGUAGAGGAGAAUGGAAUUCACGGUGUAGCAGUGAAAUGCGUAGAUAUCGAGAGGAACACCAGUGGCGAAGGCGAGUCCCUGGACAGGUCCUGACGCUGAGGCACGAAAGCUAGGGGAGCAAACAGG
rnacentral:rRNA from 1 species